rnacentral:lncRNA from 12 species
CUUUCUCAAGGUCAUGCAGUGAAUCCUAGAAAACCUGAGGUUACCUUCUCCCAGGUGUGCUCCACCUCUCUACUUCCUCAGUACUUCUUGCCCAGGCAAGCUCCUCAGUUAGCUGAGCUUCAGAGGGUCCUUGUGCUCAGGCAUAGUGCUUGGUCACAUGGAUCCAUAUCUUACCCAGAAAAUUCUUCAGUUUGGAUUUCUGCAUCGGGCUCGGUGGACAUAGGGAAGCAAUGGAGUGUCUGGCCUAGGGACGCGGAGGAGGUGAAAGGAACAAACCCCCCUCUCUGCCUGAGUCCCGGCCCCUCUCAAGCGACAGGCCCACCUGCUGUCCUGGGCACAGAACCGCAGUUGAGACCGGGGUCCCCAGGACCAGGCCAGGCAUUGCCCAGUGUUGCCCACAGCAGGAGGAUUAGAUAUGCUACAGGUCAAGAGCAAGGCAGCUCUCCCACGGGCUGGCUCACUUUGCAGCCACCGGGUCAGAUUUGUUUAGCUGUGGGAGGCGGGACUGGCAGGGGCAGAAGCGGCGGGCGCCGAGGGGCUCCCGCACAGGACCCAGGACCCGUGGCACCGACGGGGACUGAGCUGAAGAGGAAGAGGGACUCCAGAUCCCGCCCACCGCCCAGUUCACAAACUGCUCGAAGGCGCACGGGAGCAACGACCUUUAAUGUCCGAUUUGUUUCCGACCCGGGCCCAGGGCCAUCCGCCACUCGGGGAGGGCCGGGGAGCGGCUGGAGGGGCGCGAGGUCCCGGGCCGACGGCGCCCCCGCUGCCCCCCCCCGGUGGCCGCACCCACGCGCGCACGCAGACCACACGGACACCGCACAGACACACGCACGUGUACCCACGGUUAAAUACGUGCACACAGGGACUCGUUUGGAUAUGUACAGAGAGACAGACGGACAUCCCGGCCGGCGUCGGGGCCCCCAGGCUCUCGGCAUGCUCGCCCAGCCCUCCGCUGUACCUGGCACCCAUGCCCCUGCCAGCAAAGCAGCUGCCCCCCGCCCCCCCGCCUAA